UACGUAGGGUGCAGGCGUUAAUCGGAAUUACUGGGCGUAAAGCGUGCGCAGGCGGUUGCUAAGACAGGUGUGAAAUCCCCCGGCUUAACCUGGGAACUGCGUCUGAUACUGGGAGGCUUGAGUAUGGGAGAGGGAUGUAGAAUUCCAGGUGAUAGCGGUGAAAUGCGUAGAUAUCGAGAGGAACACCUGCGGCGAAGGCGGCGCUCUGGGCUGGAACUGACGCUGAGGAGCGAAAGCGUGGGGAGCGAACAGG
rnacentral:rRNA from 1 species